AAAACUUUCAACAACGGAUCUCUUGGUUCUGGCAUCGAUGAAGAACCGCAGCGAAAUGCGAUAAGUAAUGUGAAUUGCAGAAUUCCGUGAAUCAUCGAAUCUUUGAACGCACAUUGCGCCCUUUGGUAUUCCGAAGGGCAUGCCUGUUCGAGCGUCAUUG
rnacentral:rRNA from 1 species